AUAGGAACUUUGGGGAAACACAUUCAAACCAUGGAGCAACCCUGAUGCUUUGUCUCCAACAGGCAGAAGACAUGAGACAAGGAACUCAGGCUGGAAGGCAGGAGUGGCCUCAAUCUCACACUCCUAGGGAGCUACUUGGGCAUCUGUGCUUCCUGUCUCCACACCCCUGGGCUCUGUAGGUUUAGAGGUUCUGGAUCUAAAAAGGGGAACUCUUCUGUUGGGUAAAAUGUCGAGAUGACUAUGGAACUUUUACCUGUGACUCCAACCAGGCACUUUGAACUCCUUGUAUCAGGGAUCAGUAGGCAAGACAGCAGUCGCCAUUCUUUCUGGUCAUCAGGCUGCCGAGUCUACUUUCCAGGAAACAGGACCUGGUAGCAACUGUAAGGCAGGGGCCAGCAAAUUUUCCAAAUGGGACAGAUAGUAAAUAUUUUAGGCUUUGUGGACCAUAGGGUCCCUGUUGUAACUCCUCUACUGUAUAGUGCAG
rnacentral:lncRNA from 1 species